rnacentral:lncRNA from 1 species
AGCUUUCAGAAAAACUUCAGAAUCUGGAACACGAACUUGAUAAAGAACGAACGGAUGCUGAAAAAAUAAAAUCUGAAUUUAAAACUGCAAAAGAACAAUUGGAAAGUUCAGAGAAGGUUUGUAGCUUUCACCUUGUUGGGCGAUGACAUCAUCCCUCCACUGUCUUCUUAUAUUAGAUCAACAUCCUAAACAAAAUGGUGAGGUAAGAAAUUUCAUUGUAAAGUUCGCGGCAAUCAGGUGUAAUUUCAUAAAUCACCAUGAAAGAAUGGAUGCAAUUCCCGAACGAUUUACAUUCGUCAGGGGCGAUCUGAAGUCGCAAUGUGCCAAUGUGGCUGGGUGUAGAUAAAAGGCGGAUCGCAGACGGCAGACCACGG